CCUACGGGCGGCAGCAGUGAGGAAUAUUGGUCAAUGGGCGCGAGCCUGAACCAGCCAAGUAGCGUGAAGGAUGACUGCCCUACGGGUUGUAAACUUCUUUUAUAAAGGAAUAAAGUGAGGCAAGUGUGCCUUUUUGAAUGUACUUUAUUAAUAAGGAUCGGCUAACUCCGUGCAAGCAGCCGCGGUAAUACGGAGGAGCCGAGCGUUAUGCGGAUUUAUUGGGGUUAAAGGGAGCGUAGAGUGGUUGUUAAGUCAGUUGUGAAAGUUUGCGGCUCAACCGUAAAAUUGCAAUUGAUACUGGCAGCCUUGAGUACAGUUUAGGUAGGCGGAAUUCGUGGUGUAGCGGUGAAAUGCUUAGAUAUCACGAAGUACUCCGAUUGCGAAGGCAGCUUACUAAACUGCCACUGACAUUGAUGCUCGAAAGUGUGGGUAUCAAACAGGAUUAGAUACCCGAGUAGUC
rnacentral:rRNA from 1 species